UCCGUUNGUGAACCUGCGGAAGGAUCAUU
rnacentral:rRNA from 1 species